UUGUUGCAAAAUGGUCCUACGAGCUUGGGGGAGGCAGCGAUGGUGAUAGCAAAUACCGACGAGGACUAACAUCGUCAAGUUCGUCUAGCUACGAGCCCCAGCUGCGAGCUGUGUCCGAGAUUCUCUCUGAUGACCAUGUUCGAGGGUCGAUCAUGGCUAUCUCUCAAAUGAUUCCAG
rnacentral:sRNA from 1 species